rnacentral:rRNA from 1 species
UACGUAGGUGACCAGCGUUGUCCGGAUUUACUGGGCGUAAAGAGCGCGCAGGCGGUCGUUCAAGUCGAGUGUGAAAGCCCCCGGCUCAACUGGGGAGGGUCACUCGAUACUGAUCGACUUGAAGGCAGGAGAGGGAAGCGGAAUUCCCGGUGUAGUGGUGAAAUGCGUAGAUAUCGGGAGGAACACCAGUGGCGAAGGCGGCUUUCUGGACGGUAACUGACGCUGAGACGCGAAAGCGUGGGGAGCAAACAGG